GAAAGAUGGCCACGAAUCGUGUAGGCCUUUUUUAGAUGGUGAUGGCAAAACCAAGCCAUGAAUUAAAGGCACAAUGGGAAGGGCUUCCCAAGAAUUUUUAGCAUGCACAACAUCCGUAAAACUAUUGGAGCACUCAACGAUAAAAAUGAUUGGCAACACAACGGAGCGACCAAAAUACCAAAGUUUCCAACACUGUACCCCCAAAAGCACUUGGAUAAGAAAAGGGGCGGUACAAACAACAUCAUUGAACAUUAUAUUCCAGACCGGGUCCUUUUUCCACGAAGGCAACAUGAAACCUAGCGAAAUCCAACACAUAGGUGUGAAAACGUUGUGGUACUCGUCAGUUGGCCGCAACAAAGCGGGGAGCCUGACGUAGCACACACAUCAAUAACCACUCACAUGCCGUCACGGUCACAACCCAACAAAGCCCUCCGCUUUUCCCCCAAACGUAGAAAAA
rnacentral:rRNA from 1 species